ensembl:lncRNA
CUACACCCCCUUCCCUUUUAGAAGCCUAAACUCUGGCUUGGAUUAUUACAAGAUAUUGAAUACAGUUCCCUGUGCUAUACAGAAAAGAUGUACUUGCAUGUAUGCUAAGUCACUUGAGUCAUGUCCAACUCUGUGCAACGCUAUGCAGCCUGCCAGACUCCUCUGUCCAUGGGAUUCUCCAGGCAAGAAUACUGGAGUGGGUUGCUGUACCCUCUUCCAGGGGAUCUUCCCAACCCAGGGAUCGAAGCUUCAUCUCCUAAGUCUCCUGCAUUGGCAGAAGAAGGAAAAAGUGAAGGAGGAGGGACAAGAGGAGAAAGUCAGCGGAAAUGAAUGAACCUUCCUCCGCGCCAUGGCUGGAGCACUCUGAAAAGGGAAACCUUGACCACCCGGACCUGGAAAACACACAUUAUUGGCAGGAUCUAAGCUGAUGGAAACCUAACUGAACUAGAAUUUGGGUCUUCCAACACUCCCAGCACAGUGUUGUCACUCCCAAGCUGUGUGACCUUUGCAAAAUCAUAUCUCUGACCCUCACUUUCUUCAUCUACAAAAGGAAAGAGUUACAUGGUUUCUCUCUUCUCCAGGGUUGCACUAGUAAGACAGCUGGUAAUGUUAAUUGAUAAGGAAGUGGUUCAAAGAGGAUCCAUCUGUUUUUAAUUAAAUUCCUUUUGCAACAUCUUUAUAAAUGCUCUGGGUCUAAGAGAUAACGUAUUAGGAGAUCCAGAAAGCAUACAUAUUGAAGCCACAUGCUGCUAUAUAAAGGACAGACUCAAUUAAAUAGAAUUAAACCAGUGACUGGUGAGAAUGGGGAAGCCUGUGCUUUGAGAGAUUUGGGGAGCGAGUUAAAGUUUAUUGGGCAUCAGAAAAGUUAAGAGAGUUUUUUCAAUGGAAAUUGAAUGUUAGCGGAAACAUUAGUAUAGGACACUGACAUUCCAUGAACUCUGACAAAGUAAAAGGAAGGAAGGAAAUAAGAAAACAGAAGCCAGAGGUGACAAAGGAUAAAUGGUUGGGAAUGUCAUCCAUGAGGAGGUGAAGUGGGAGAAAGAGGUACAAAAGCUGGAGUGAUGACGAUUCCUACCCGCAAAUCAAAUUUACCCAUGAGUUC